rnacentral:tRNA from 14 species
CAUAGCUCAGUUGGGAGAGCGUUAGACUGAAGAUCUAAAGGUCCCGCGUUCGAUCCG